rnacentral:rRNA from 1 species
UACGUAGGGUGCGAGCGUUGUCCGGAAUUACUGGGCGUAAAGAGCUCGUAGGUGGUUUGUCGCGUUGUCCGUGAAAACUUACAACUCAAUUGUGGGCGUGCGGGCGAUACGGGCAGACUGGAGUACUGCAGGGGAGACUGGAAUUCCUGGUGUAGCGGUGGAAUGCGCAGAUAUCAGGAGGAACACCGGUGGCGAAGGCGGGUCUCUGGGCAGUAACUGACGCUGAGGAGCGAAAGCUAGGGGAGCGAACAGG